CCCUUAGAUGUUCUGGGCCGCACGCGCGCUACACUGACGAAUGCAACGAGCUUAUAACCUUGGCCGAAAGGUCUGGGUAAUCUCCAAAUUUCGUCGUGAUGGGGAUAGCUUAUUGCAAUUAUUAAUCUUCAACGAGGAAUGCCUAGUAAGCGCAAGUCAUCAGCUUGCGUUGAUUACGUCCCUGCCCUUUGUACACACCGCCCGUCGCUCCUACCGAUUGAAUGGUCCGGUGAAGCGUUCGGACCGUGGCCUUUGGACGGUUCGCCGUCUGUUGGCUGCGGGAAGUUCGUUAAACCUUAUCAUUUAGAGGAAGGAGAAGUCGUAACA
rnacentral:rRNA from 1 species